GCUUAGUAUGAAGGAGAACACUUUCAGGGGACCAAGUCAGAGAUAAGUCUGCAACCACAGCAAUGGCCCUUUAGAAAGCAUUUAAGAGGCCUGGUGCUUUUUGAGCUGCUUUGAUGACGUGGCAAUGGCUGGAGGGGAAAAGCAGCGGCACAGCUGCCUGCCAUUGGCCUGGUCUUUUUCACUGUGCUCAGUGUUGUCAUCACGAAGCCUCUCAUGCAGCGCGAUGUCAGGAUGGGCCCAUGCGCGGGUGGAAGGCAUGUGGGGGCCAUGUUGCCAGCUGCGGAUGGACAGGCUUCUGAUAUCAGGCUGUGACAGCACUGUCAUCUCCCAAGAAUCCAGCAUCCGUCUGCAUGGAUUGCAUGCCAUCCUUGAAUCCACUCACUUGCCCAGCCCCUGAACCAACUGAUGAAUGUGGUGAAGUCUUCCCUUCGUCACCCCAGGUGCAGCCACAGCCUCUGCAGCCACCCUGGGGGAGAGACAGCUCCAGCAGGACCUGCUAAGGUGAGGUGUUCUGGAAGGGUCUCUGCUCCUAGCAGUCACUGGCAGCUUGCCCAAAUUGGAGAAGUUUAACAUCUCUUUUCUCUGAGAAGUAAAAUGUGUUUCUUUGGUGGAUGUGAAACCAACAAACCACUGUGGUGCCUCUCUACAUCUGAAGGAUGAGCCAGCCAAGCCAGGGGAACUGACGACCCCACACACGUCUGCACUGCUGUGGCCGUGUUGAACACGGACUCCUUCUUCAGGGCAGCCUUGGGCCAUCGGAGGGCUGCUGUAUGCAGUGACGGCCACCAAGUGUCCUUGGCCAGGGGAGUGAUUUACAGGGACUGAGAUCCUGACUUGUGACCCAGACACGAAUGCAUCCUUGUUCCAUUUUGUUAUUGCUCAACCGUCAUCUGGCCAUCCCCAAAGCCCACCUCUGUGAGAAAGGCCAGUGCUUGUCCUCGUGACACCCCUGAGACCUCGAUGGAGCAAGUCCCAGGGCCCAUCAUACAUUUUUAAAGAAAAUCUUCUUUUGGUGAGAAGAUCAAAGGGCCAGGCAGAAAUGGAAAAGCACUUUCUGGCAUCAGACUUCCUCUGACUUCUCCGGUUGCCACACCACUGAAAGACUGCCCCACAGUGCGAGGGACGUCCACAUCUGCCUGGCUCUCCGAGGGAUGAACAGCCUUCAGUUCAGCUUCCUGUCACACCCCAAAAUCCACCAGGGCUCUGCAGUCAUAGAGCCCUGGAACCCAGAGGUGGAAACUUAAAGGAAUGAGUGCUCUCUCGCUCCAAAACCACAGAUAUCUGGUCCAUAGAGAACCCACCACACUUGUAUACAUUUUCAUACGUCUGCGCACAUACACAAAUGCACAAACACAUGUUCAGCUGUUGAUAAUCAUCUGAUCUUUUGCUCUUUCGAUGUAAAUAUGGCCAGAUAUCUCUGGCUUUAAUUCUCAUUAAAAUUUUGAAAGUUAUACUUUC
rnacentral:lncRNA from 1 species